rnacentral:rRNA from 1 species
UACGUAGGGUGCAAGCGUUAAUCGGAAUUACUGGGCGUAAAGCGUGCGCAGGCGGUUAUGCAAGACAGAUGUGAAAUCCCCGGGCUAAACCUGGGAACUGCAUUUGUGACUGCAUAGCUAGAGUACGGUAGAGGGGGAUGGAAUUCCGCGUGUAGCAGUGAAAUGCGUAGAUAUGCGGAGGAACACCGAUGGCGAAGGCAAUCCCCUGGACCUGUACUGACGCUCAUGCACGAAAGCGUGGGGAGCAAACAGG